AAAAAGACAAACCCUGGUUUUCGUGUUCAAUGUUUGACCGUCCGUCUUAUUUAAAAAAAUAUGAAAAUAAUUAAAAAGAUAAGUCACGCAUAAAGUAUUAAUCAUAUUUUAUCAUCUAACAACAAUAAAAAUACUAAUUAUAAAAAAUUUUUAUAUAAGACGAACAAUCAAACGUUGGUACGGUUUUUUGGACGGAGGGAGU
rfam:Oryza sativa Japonica Group DNA, chromosome 6, cultivar: Nipponbare, complete sequence.